ACAACUCCAGCUCAGGUGACUACUAAUGCUAACCCUGCAACUCCAAUGGCACCAACUCCUAGCAAAAAGUGCACAUCAAGUCAAACAAGAGCUACAACUCCAAGACAAAGCAACAAUCCAAGUCAGCCAAGAACAACUCAAAGACGAAAUACCAAUUUCACUCCAACUACUAGCAUGCCUUCAUCUGCAGUUGAACAAAGCAUAGCUCCUGCUACACCUGCUGUCAUGUAUUUUACAAGAUGUACAAGAGCUACAAUAGCACAAAAUCCAGCUCAAGCAAGUCAGAGUAGCAACCCUGUGGUUAGAGGAACACAACAAAUACCUUCAUCAAAUAGAAAGAGAUAUGCAGAUCCAACAAUGGCUUCUAGAGCCAAAAGACAUGUUGUCCCAAGAGGAACAUGAGUUUACAUAAAUGAAGGGAUUGGUGUAACAACAUAUCAGUCAUCACUAAAUAGUGGCAGCAUGGUCAUAAGUCAUGGAUUAUAGUUGAAGAACUCUGCUAUUGUAACUGGGGAUUUGGGGUUCAAAGCUCCUGGAUUGAAGUGGAAGGGCAAAAAUGCAGUUGUAGCUAAGCAACUAUAGCAGCAGAGACUUGAUAUGCAACAUCAACAUAGGCAGUCCCGACCUACAAGACCACCAGUCAACUCUUCUGCAAUGAGUCAGCAAUCACAAGGAAGCAACUGCCCAUCUCAGUAUAGCACAAACCUUUAAUGAAAUUGAUAUUUUUCUAUUUUGUCCAUUGUAUUUGGUAGUUGUGAAACAGUUAUGACUACUACCAAUUAGUUACUCUUUUUGUCAUUUUUGAAUGUAUAUUGGAUUCAAGUUUUUGUCCAUUGUAGUUGGUUCUUAUGAACUCUACUAUUGUAAAAAGUACCAAUAUUUAGUUCUUUUGGGAUUUAGAUUGGAUUCAAGUUUUUGUUACUGGAAAUUGAUCAAUUCUAGGAAUUG